CACCACUGUUUUUCACAUGCCAUGAUAGAGAAUUAUGCCAGAUAAUUUCCUUGAUAAAGUCUUAAACUAAAACUAAUGGAACCUAAUAGAGAAAAAUCGCCAUUGUCAAGCCAGCCAAAAUGAAAUGAUCUCUCAAUAACCAAAGGGGUCACUCCGUCCUUGUCUUACUCUGCCUUCCUUUUGCCUUUCGGAUAAACUGAGACUCUCACAUACAUGCAGAGAAAACUUCCUUCUAAAUGCCUCUGGUAAUUGCAUGAGUCUAUGCAGAGCAGGUGUAGGGACUGAAGGCUUUGUCUUAAGGAAGAUUAACUGUUGGCCUUAAACUUGGACUUCACACCAAGAUUUUUCCUGCAGUCUGCAAGUUUGGACCUCACUCUUUCCAGAGGAGAUCAAAGCUUCACUUCAGCAAGCUAAGUGCACUUACAAUUUUCUUUUUUUUUUGCUAACUUGUGUGUGUCAGUGUGCUUUAAAGGCUAGAGUAAGCUAAAAGGCUAGGUUUUAUUCACAUCUGUGUUGUGUGUUGAUUUUGGGAAAUGCAUUUGCUUCUGCUGGCUGCUAAUUUGUGCUGCAUUUAUGUUAAUUGUGAAAUACUCUUGCUUUUUUUCUCUUUUACUUGUUAUUUGGAACAUGUGUUACGAUGCUUUUAUGUUGUUUAUUUACAUCCUGGUGAAGCUGAAGUAUUAAAAAGUGAAGUGUUUUGGGCUGAAAUGACAUAUUCCCCUUCUUUGUUGUUGCUGUUGUUUUUUGUGCAGUUCCCGUUGUCUUGCUGCAAAGUGGAUAAAAACAACAUUACUGAUAUUUCUUCCCCUGCUGCUGCUUAUCAAUUGGAAUUCAGUGUUUAGAUUUAUCCACCUCUGUUCACCAGUAUUUCCCUGCAAUAUUUGGAGGUGCUUUGUUUGGGAAUAGCCACGCUGCUGCUGUAUAACCGUCCCCCCACACAGAGGAUCCCACAGAACAGCUGGUGUUGGGCUCUGUGUUUAAUGCAAUAUUGUAUCUAAUGCAGUGUCAGAGUGAAGUUUAUUAAUCGAUGUUUGCGACUCUCUGCUGCGCUACGCUUGGUGCUUGCAGAGCCUACAGGCCAAAAUAUGAACUCAUAUCAUAUCAGUACUCAGUAAUUCACAUAACAAAUGCAUUGGUUGGUACAGCACAAUAUUAAUAUGUAACCUAAUAUAAAAUAAUCAAACCAAAACAACUUUUUAUUCACAUAAAUCAGAUACAGAGAAAUAAAACUCAACAUAUGUAUCACAAAAGUAUGUUGUUUGAUGAAAUCCGCCAUAUUAAUCUUCUUUAUCCUCUCAUCUUUCCUAUUUUCUUAACAACAAUGCAGCAUUCAGUGUACCAUGUACAGUGUGAAGAUGCCUAAAAAAUGUAAAAACAAAUGCAGCAGACAUAUAGUAUAUACUGAAAUAAGAAAUUACUAAAAGAGAAUGGGGUUAUUUGUUGUGUUGUGACAGCAGAAGCUUUCAGUCAUUUGUAUGGCCUUUGUGGAUUUCCUUUUUUUUUUUUUUUUAAACUUUUGAGACCGGUGUCCCACCUCGUCCACUGCUGAAUCCAAAUGCUGAAUCUGGACUUGAUGCAUUGCUCCGACUUUUGCUGCUGUUGCUUCCUCUCGUUUGUACUCCGCCAUGAUCAGAGGAGUCUUUGUUUAGGAGGGAAAAAAGAAGAGGACCAAAGAUGUGAGGAAGAGACAGGCAGGCUCAUUAUCGCCAGAAGCAAAAGUUCCAGGAACAAAAGUCAUGUGACCUGUGUGGGCACACAUCUUAUAUUUUCUAGAGUGUGAAGACUCUUUGAUUUGCUCUCACUUUCAUAUCGUAAUGAGCCAUUCGGUCUCUCCUGCUCCAACAUGUAGUGUAGUUUGCUCAGCACUUCUUCUUCUCUUCCCUGCCAGUAGUGUUGACUGGUGGUCCCUGUGACCUGCCUUUGCACAGCGCUCAUUUGAAGGAUCAUUCACUUGUUCUGCUUGGCGAUCACUGGAGCUCUCGUCUCGAGCUGCUGUGCCGCGUAUUAAUGAGCUGGUUCUGGGUUCUUUCGGCUCGUCAGAAUCAUCCAUCAGCAUAAAUCUCCUUUAACAAGAGUGAAGAGUUUCAGCCCAUCAACAUGAAGGUACUCACAGAUCACAGGCUUCAACACCCCUUGGUAAAAACAUGAUAGAUUCAUUCAUAAUACUCUUUCUUGGGGGAGAAGCCACAGCAAUAAGCACACCAGUCCUUUAACUAUAAGGAGCCAUGUGAAAUUUUACCGCUGAAUGCAAAUAGCUUUUAAUAUCUAAAUUAAUAGUCAUAUUUCAUAUUUGACUACAUUUUUAAAUUCCAAUUUCAAGACGUAUUUUCAUCUUAAUAUCUAUAGAGUCACUGAGACCCUGCUGGUCAUUGUCCAUACUGGAAAUGCUAUUAGCUUGUUUCAUCACCCUUCAAAGAAGCUUUAUAUGAGCUCGACCUGUUAAUUAUGCCAGCUAUUUGAGCUUUGAUACUUGUACAGAUCUCAGUUUUAGAGCCCACUGUAGGUGCUCUGUGCUUCUUAACUGAUCACCCAUAUCCAAUUAGACAUUGAAUUUGACAAGAGCUGAGGAACUUUUUGGUGUUUCCUCUCCUCAAACACUUUAAACUCACAGCCUUAGUCAUGCCCUGCUGACAUCUGAUUAAUGCACUCUGUGCCAUGUCUGAAGAUACAGGGUCUCCAUCGCUAAAACUUUGCGAUUUAAAGAAAAAAAUGUCUUGAAAUGAAAGUAUCUUUUUUGGUGUUUGUUCCACCGUGCCUUCUUGACUAUGGAGGUGAGAUUUUGUCUUAUCACAGUGUUGCUCUUUCAGGAAACAAACAACAUAAACAAGUGCAUCAGGGGAUUAGGUUGACCUUUUUUCUCAUUAUUACCUAGCUGUUAUGCUGUGUCCCCUAAAACAUUUGUUUGUGCAGGAUCAACAUAAACCCUUGGGUAAAGCCCCAGUUCUGUGAUCAGUGUACUGCGCCCUGUUUCCUCAACCGUGACAUGAUGGAGUCCACAUCCUGGAGUUCAGUCCAUGCUGUGUCUGAAAUCACUCACUGGUUCUCACUUUCAUUAUUUCCUACAUAAUAAACACUCAGUAGGUUAUUGAAUAGUGAGUAAAACCCCAAAUCCCCAAAUUAUGCUCAAGUAACCCAAUAAGCUCAAUAACCCUAACCAUAACCCUAAUUCUAAUUCAUACAACUGUACAUGCUGUAGGAUAUAAUACGAGUCUUUAUUGUUCUUAAAAAUGCAUUAAAAGUUUUGAUGGUUUUUUCAAGCUUGUGGACCCUAUUCCAAAGCAGACCAUAUAUGUUUUAAACUGCAGUGUUUCUCAUAUCUUUAGCCAUUGGUUUCCUCAGAGAAAACCGACGUGUUGAGACUUAAAACUUUGAGAUCUGAAAUUCCAUCACAGCAAACAGCAUUAAUGCUUUUUGUCAGCAGUUGAAUUUUCAUCAUAAACCGGCAAGUCACAAUCAACAUGGAAAAUUUGUUGAGUACGACUCUAAAACUUUCAGCUCCCGGAGGUCAGCACUGCACUGCUUCAGCCAUACAAAGAUUAAGUGAGGAGUUACGGAUGGAGUCUGUUUGUAAUUUCUGCCUUAAUGUUAACCUCUGUUGUUCAGUGAUGUGAGUAACAACAACAAAUCAAAGUCGACACCUUCCUUGCACAGUCUCUACCCUUCAUUUCCCUCCAGGCAAGCCGAGCAAGUAAAUUGCAAUAGAGAGGCAAGUGGACGUCCAGCAAAAGCAGAACUGUAAACAAGCUAUCGAUGGCUGAGGUGAGCCGAGCAAAGGAAAGCAAUAUGGUUAUUGCUUUGUUGUUGGAUUCAUUGCAUUUUUUAAGAGAGUAGUAAUGAGCAGACAUUAGCAGGUGUCAUAUACAGCAAGUCUCACAGUUUGUCGAAGCCAGAAAAUGUUCGUAAACUAAAUGAGACGUGUAGACUUUCAAUAAACAACAACAUUAAAAAAAUUUAAAAAAAAACAGU